rnacentral:rRNA from 1 species
GACAUAGGUGACGAACGUUAUCCGGAAUUAUUGGGCGUAAAGGAUGCGUAGAUGGUUCGAUAAGUUACUGGUGGGAAAUCGAGGCCCAACCUCGUGGAAGCUGGUAAUACUGUCGAACUUGAGUGCAGGAGAGGUUAACGGAACUUUAUGUGGAGCGGUAAAAUGCGUAGAUAUAUGAAAGAACACCAAUAUAGCGAAGGCAGUUAACUAUUCUGCUACUGACAUUGAGGCAUGAAAGCGUGGGGAGCAAAACGG